rnacentral:rRNA from 1 species
UGGGGGAUAUUGCACAAUGGGCGCAAGCCUGAUGCAGCGACGCCGCGUGGGGGAUGAAGGCCUUCGGGUUGUAAACUUCUUUUGCUCUGAACAAGGCGCACUUUGGGGUGUGUUGAGUGUAGGGGUUGAUUAGCGCCGGCUAACUACGUGCCAGCAGCCGCGGUAAUACGUAGGGCGCGAGCGUUGUCCGGAAUUAUUGGGCGUAAAGGGCUUGUAGGUGGCUGGUUGCGUCUGUCGUGAAAGCUCAUGGCUUAACUGUGGGUUUGGGGUGGGUACGGGCUGGCUUGAGUGCAGUAGGGGAGGCUGGAAUUCCUGGUGUAGCGGUGGAAUGCGCAGAUAUCAGGAGGAAUACCGGUGGCGAAGGCGGGUCUCUGGGCUGUUACUGACACUGAGGAGCGAAAGCAUGGGGAGCGAACAGG